AGUGAUGGGGAGUUACUAUAAAAGACCGAAACAGGCCCCGAUGAUUUCCUCCAGCCCCUUUCCAAGAUCAUGAAUCCCCUCUAAAGGUCUCACUGCUUAAUACUAAGGCAUUGAAGGCUCCGUUUCAACAUGAAGUUUGGAAGGGACGCAAACAUGCAGACCACAUCCAUCGGUUCCAGAUUCCACUGUGCAGCAAGCCUUUCAGAAAGCAGCACCGGUCACCUUUUGGCGGGCUAUCCAAGCGGAGUAUCUGCAGUUAUGAGUAGUCUGGCCAGACACCCUUCCCUUUCCAACAGUUCUGCGUGAGGCCGAACCUUUUCUCACACUGCAACAGAAUAGCGAACCCCAAAAGAGAGAGUGAAGGAUGGCCUCUUGUCUGCGAGUUCCCAAUAGAGCAUCUACCUGUUUUAUAAAAUACCUGCAGGCAGCUCACUUUCAAAAGAACACAAUGAAGUGCUUUUCCAGGAAACCACGUGGUAAAAGAGAAAGUAGGAAAGAAGAACAGUCAUGGGCAUGCAGGGACAGCAUGUCUCAACGAUCUUAUCGGUCUUCACAUUUGCUUCCAAGGAGCCACAAAUCUGAGUCUGAUUUUUCUAGGAGUCAAGAACAGGUGGGCUGUGUAAGAACCAUGUUCAGACCUCAGUAACCCUGCCUCUUCUUCCCUGAACUGACCUUCCUCAUUCCGGAUAGACACAAAACACCAUCCUCCAAGGCAGAGACUGGAGUAUGUGAUUGUUUAUGCUGGAAGAAUGAAGCUUAGGAGCUACGUGGGCAUCAGAGAGAGCUGGCUUUCCCCUGGGACUGUGCAGUAGGUGUAUGAUCUCGGGAUGUUGUCAAUCUUCUCCAGACCUCAGAAUGUUGCUGACAAGAUUCAGGAGGGAAUUGCCGCUCUUAUGGCAGAGGAUCUGGCUACUGGGGGUGGGGGAGGGGGUCUAAACUAUCUCGUCCUUUACUUGUGGACAUCUGACAGAUACAGAUCUAUCAUCUGCUCAGCUAUAUGGACUCUUGGCAAAGAAGGCUAAGGAGGUUUAAUGACUUGCCAAGUAGCCACAGCCUGUGGCAAAGAUCUGAUGUCCUCUGCUCUUGUAGGUUUGUAUCUUGGACUCCACACACCACUCAAGCUGCUACUGUAGAAAUUUGCUUUCAGAAAGUGUCAAGGGAGCGGAGGUGUCAUCCAACAAACAAGGCAGGUACCUGUUUGUCCUCAGGAUGGCUUUGACUUUGGCUUCCUGGGUCCUUUUUUGGCUUGUUUUGAGCCCUGGUCAAGUAAGGAAGCGUCUGGUGAGCAGGCAGCAAUCCCAGGUGCCUCACUUUUGUGAACCUUGGAGAGGCAUGUGUAACCAAACAGGCAAACCUCCCCCCAUGCCCAUUUUAGUGGAGGAGAUGGAAAACCGUGGAGUUUUAGGUGACUCAGUUUGCCAGGUCCAGCUGGGUCCCCCAAGGCUUGAUCACGGUCCAGUUCCAUACCUAACAGCACUUCUUACUCCCAUGACUCCAAGGACAAGAAUUCUUGUAAGCAAACCCAUGGCUCAGAGUGACAACCCAGCUCUUAUUCCAGGGUAGCUCCAAGAAGGAAGACAGCAAACUCAGAAGUAGUUGGAGCAGCACCUACUGGAGAAGCUUCCUCCUCAGAAAGGCAUCAAGGGUGUUCUGGAAUGUACCGGGAAGUCUCUCUAAAUACCUGACCAGGUCAA